CGGGUGAGUAACACGUGAGCAACCUGCCCCUGACUCUGGGAUAAGCGCUGGAAACGGCGUCUAAUACUGGAUACGAACCACGACCGCAUGGUCAGUGGUUGGAAAGAAUUUCGGUUGGGGAUGGGCUCGCGGCCUAUCAGCUUGUUGGUGAGGUAAUGGCUCACCAAGGCGUCGACGGGUAGCCGGCCUGAGAGGGUGACCGGCCACACUGGGACUGAGACACGGCCCAGACUCCUACGGGAGGCAGCAGUGGGGAAUAUUGCACAAUGGGCGCAAGCCUGAUGCAGCAACGCCGCGUGAGGGAUGACGGCCUUCGGGUUGUAAACCUCUUUUAGCAGGGAAGAAGCGAAAGUGACGGUACCUGCAGAAAAAGCGCCGGCUAACUACGUGCCAGCAGCCGCGGUAAUACGUAGGGCGCAAGCGUUAUCCGGAAUUAUUGGGCGUAAAGAGCUCGUAGGCGGUUUGUCGCGUCUGCUGUGAAAUCCGGAGGCUCAACCUCCGGCCUGCAGUGGGUACGGGCAGACUAGAGUGCGGUAGGGGAGAUUGGAAUUCCUGGUGUAGCGGUGGAAUGCGCAGAUAUCAGGAGGAACACCGAUGGCGAAGGCAGAUCUCUGGGCCGUAACUGACGCUGAGGAGCGAAAGGGUGGGGAGCAAACAGGCUUAGAUACCCUGGUAGUCCACCCCGUAAACGUUGGGAACUAGUUGUGGGGUCCAUUCCACGGAUUCCGUGACGCAGCUAACGCAUUAAGUUCCCCGCCUGGGGAGUACGGCCGCAAGGCUAAAACUCAAAGGAAUUGACGGGGACCCGCACAAGCGGCGGAGCAUGCGGAUUAAUUCGAUGCAACGCGAAGAACCUUACCAAGGCUUGACAUAUACGAGAACGGGCCAGAAAUGGUCAACUCUUUGGACACUCGUAAACAGGUGGUGCAUGGGUUGUCGUCAGCUCGUGUCGUGAGAUGUUGGGUUAAGUCCCGCAACGAGCGCAACCCUCGUUCUAUGUUGCCAGCACGUAAUGGUGGGAACUCAUGGGAUACUGCCGGGGUCAACUCGGAGGAAGGUGGGGAUGACGUCAAAUCAUCAUGCCCCUUAUGUCUUGGGCUUCACGCAUGCUACAAUGGCCGGUACAAAGGGCUGCAAUACCGCGAGGUGGAGCGAAUCCCAAAAAGCCGGUCCCAGUUCGGAUUGAGGUCUGCAACUCGACCUCAUGAAGUCGGAGUCGCUAGUAAUCGCAGAUCAGCAACGCUGCGGUGAAUACGUUCCCGGGUCUUGUACACACCGCCCGUCAAGU
rnacentral:rRNA from 1 species